GACGAACGCUGGCGGCGUGCUUAACACAUGCAAGUCGAACGGAAAGGCCCUGCUUUUGUGAGUUGCUCGAGUGGCGAACGGGUGAGUAACACGUGAGUAACCUGCCCUUGACUUUGGGAUAACUUCAGGAAACUGGGGCUAAUACCGGAUAGGAGCUCCUGCUGCAUGGUGGGGGUUGGAAAGUUUCGGCGGUUGGGGAUGGACUCGCGGCUUAUCAGCUUGUUGGUGGGGUAGUGGCUUACCAAGGUUUUGACGGGUAGCCGGCCUGAGAGGGUGACCGGCCACAUUGGGACUGAGAUACGGCCCAGACUCCUACGGGAGGCAGCAGUGGGGAAUAUUGCACAAUGGGCGGAAGCCUGAUGCAGCAGCGCCGCGUGCGGGAUGACGGCCUUCGGGUUGUAAACCGCUUUCGCCUGUGACGAAGCGUGAGUGACGGUAAUGGGUAAAGAAGCACCGGCUAACUACGUG
rnacentral:rRNA from 1 species